rnacentral:lncRNA from 1 species
AUUGUUAAGAAUUUUAAAUCGUUAUUAACAUAUUUAAAUUAUUAUUAUUAUUAUUUUUCAAGAAUAGAUUGCUAUUGCUUCAUUCAGUCUAGCUUCAUGGUAGAGAGUGAGGUUCUAGAGUCAGGCUGCCUGAGAUGCUGGAUCUGCAACAUACCAGCUCCAUGACUUGAGCGGUUACUCAGUUAGUCCUUGCCUUUCAUUCCUGUCUGAAAAAUGGGGGUAAUAAUAGCACCUACCCCAGGAGGUGCAAGACUUGCAUCAAUAUACAUCAGAGCACUUAGAACAUGCUCUGCAAUACUUUCCAACUACCUUUCAAAUAUUUAGCUUCUGGACUCCAGCGUGCCAGGCGGAGCUUUCCAAGCUACAUCUGUCUUGCUUCCUAAAUUCCAAGAGCAACAGAGGAGGGUGAAAAGAGCCAACAAGUGCACUCAUAACAAGACAGGAACUGAACACUCUCUGGAUUCUAACUCCCCUCUUAAUCCACCCAUGUGUGCUACCCACAUGGUCCUGUUGGGAGUUAUCUUCUGGCUCGGACUUGUUUCCUAAGACUUGGCAGAGAAAGUUGCCCUCGCCAGAGACCCUGACCACAUGCAUUCCACAGUUUCUGUUUUCUGGGAAUCAUGGGACACAAAUGGGAAAUGGAGACACCACCUUCUGAAGGACAUGACAGGCGCCAAUUGCAACUGUGAGAGUGGCCCGGGCUGGAAUCCAGACUCCUCCAGUGAUCAGCUCUGGAAUCUUCGGUGCUGCUUCUCUUCGCAUCGCAGCGAGGAACACAAACCUACCCACACCAGGAGCAAGUUUAACUUUAUUUUGAAAGACAGCUGCCAUAGGACUUGGGACUCUUUUCUCAGCAAGGGACAGAGACUCAUUUCAAACCAGCUGAAACAUAGAAGAUAAUUUAUUAUGAAUGAGAAUACUGAGAUGUUUCAUGGAAACUAAGAAAAGAACAUUACUUGAUCUCAGAAAAAAAGGAAAAAAUUGGAACCAAGGACAACAAAACUUGUUAGGAUUCACUUUCUCUUUGCCACAUGUGGAAAACAUUACAGCCAACAUCUCUGGAACUUUACAGCUCUGAAUAGCAAGAUCGGCCUAUAUCCUUUGUCCCAAGGGGGGAAAAAAAGAAAAAAAGAAAGAAAAUACCACUUCAUUAGCCAACCCUGAACCAAUCACCCCUGACCUGGGAUCAGAAUUACAAUAGAAUACAUUUGUCUUUACUCUACCCUGUGGAUAGAAGCAGCAAGAAGAGAGUGAGGAUUUUUAAAAAGAGGAAGCGAGGCAGGGGUGUCACUCUGUACCACCGCUCAGGCUCAGCAUGGGUACUGGCAAUUCAUGAACUUGAUAAAUGUGUACACCCAGCAGCAUUCUGAUUUUUUUCAGCUAUCUCUCAAACAUAUUACUAUAAAAUUUGCCAAUCCAGUGAGAGAUGGCAGGCAGGGUUAGCUGAGAAAGCCGCCCCCAGAUUGCACCUGUAUUAUUACAGGGUUGUUGGCUUUGGGGGCUCCAAAAGAAAGGAGGUUGAAAAGACAGAGCAGGGAGUAAAGUCUGGUCCAUUUGGGAAGCUCCAACUUUCCUCAUCGAAACAGGAAAUUUAUUUCUUCCUCCUUGUGAUGGCUGAAGGAGAUUGGCCAGAAAGAACAGGUGACGAAAGGCUUAAGAUGCAUUUUUCUGACAGCACCGCUCGUGCGGUCCUCCGAGCAACUGCGCAGAGUGUGCACCCUUGCCCAUGGAAGCGAGUUAAUAAUCAGAUAUAUACUUAUUAACAUGCUUCACAAACGCUUCCCCUCCAGACCGGGCAGAAAGGGCCCCCCACUCUCACCCCCACCCCCCCACGGAGCCAGGGUUUCUCUCCAGGCCCUACUAAGACCUCCUUGCAGACUCACCUUCAAAGUACACAAAAGGACAAAAGGGCCUUUCAUUCUACCCUCCCUAGAAGAACUUGAGUUUGAAAAUGGCUAUUUGUUCCCUUCGCCACAUAUACGUCUGAUAAUAUGCAUGGGCAUGCGUAAUUGACUGCCUGCAUUAUGUAUGAAUUAGACCCCACUCUUGUUUGGCAACAGCUGGAGGGUUGUUUUUUUUUUUUCUCUUCCAGAUGCCCAGCUGCAGAAGGGCCCCUCCCCCUCUUCACCAUGUGCGUGUACCACCCCUCCCCCCCACCUCACCCCCACAUGGGCACUGGGGACAAUUGUCCUAAUUUACCAGAACCCAAGGACCAUUAUAGCCAGGGCAAUGUGUUUUUGUUUGAGUUGCUUUUCUUUUAUUAAAAUUUGUUUUUCUUCCACAUUUCACUGCCACCCUGCUACUAAUGGAACAAAGACUCUGGCCGAACAAGCACCCUAGCAAUCACCUUCGUUCCUUCUCACGGCCAAAGGCUUCUAAAAGCCCUGUGUUUUCAAGCUGUUGGCUGGAUGGUCUCCCUGGGGAAAUGCUUGCCACUUUUAAAGAUGUUUCGAGCCAAGAGAAACUAGGAUAAAGGCACCAUUGGGCAGUUUUUCUUGUUGUUUCUUUGUUUGUUAUCCAUUAUCACCAAGUUCCUGAUCUCCUUUGCUGAAACCAAGGCAUUGCAGGGGGGAUUUAAAAAAAAAAAAGUAACAAAUAUAAUAUUACUUAUGCAAGACUACAUUGAAGUACCAUCUAAAUGACAUUGUUUUUAGGAAGAAAGCGGCAGAGCCCAGAUAAUUAUCUGGUCAUUUGCAAGAUAUUUUAAUGAAACGAAUCUUCAAGCAUUUGGGGAUUGGAGGGUCUGAGUCAUUGCCUAAAUUUUGCAAUUCCCCCUGGAUGUUCGCCAUCCUACAAUGUAGCUUGUAUGUCAAAGAAAGAAACAUUAUAUGUUAGAAAAUGUUAUGGGGAGUGAUGUAAGUUGGCUUCACUCUAUUUAACAGAAGGGAAUGUGUUUGUAGGCCCAUAAACAACUUAAUCUAUGGACUGAAAAUAUCCUGCCAAAAGUGACCUCUGCUACCUUCGCCCCCCAAGAAAACCUCCUAGAAUAAGCUCCUCUUAAAAUGCUUCCCAAAAAGAGGGGUCUUUAUAUAGUGGCCUCCUGAAGACCCAGAUGAAAACAUAACAGUCUUUGAUCAACUUGGCUGUCAAGUGGAGAAAGCGAUAUGAAGACUCUAAUGACCAUUUUCUUGCUGAAAUGUCCUCUAUAGCGGAGGUCAAUCAUCCAGCCACUUUCCCCAUCAAACAGCUCACAAGAAUAAGGACACACAGCCAAUCUCCUUCUGUCUCUCACCAAAUUUCUGAGGUCAAAGCAUUUAUGCAGUGAGGUCUUUCAAUACCAUUAACCGUGAAAAUAUCCAAUAUCACAAUAAUUCUGAAUUUCAAAACCAAUUUGAGUUUUAAUCUGAGUAUUUAGGGUAUUUACCCUUGAUAUUGAUGCAUCCAGCCACUAGUUCACCUCAAAUUGGUCAAAUUGAUGAGGUCAGUGACGUUAAAUAAAAGACUGCAAUGUAUUGUCA